GGUAGCGUGGCCGAGUUGGUCUAAGGCGUUGGAUUUAAGAUACUUCUUGAUUCCCAAUGGGCGUGAGUCCGCGCGAGUUCGAACCUCGCCGCUACCA
rfam:Galerina marginata CBS 339.88 GALMAscaffold_19_Cont526, whole genome shotgun sequence.